GUUUGAUUCUGGCUCAGGACGAACGCUGGCGGCGUGCUUAACACAUGCAAGUCGAACGGUAAGGCCUUUUCGGGGUACACGAGUGGCGAACGGGUGAGUAACACGUGGGUGAUCUGCCCUGCACUUUGGGAUAAGCCUGGGAAACUGGGUCUAAUACCGAAUAGGACCAUGGACUUCACGGUUUUGUGGUGGAAAGCUUUUGCGGUGUGGGAUGGGCCCGCGGCCUAUCAGCUUGUUGGUGGGGUAAUGGCCUACCAAGGCGACGACGGGUAGCCGGCCUGAGAGGGUGACCGGCCACACUGGGACUGAGAUACGGCCCAGACUCCUACGGGAGGCAGCAGUGGGGAAUAUUGCACAAUGGGCGCAAGCCUGAUGCAGCGACGCCGCGUGAGGGGAUGACGGCCU
rnacentral:rRNA from 1 species